AAAGUACUCCCUCCGUCCCAAAAUUCUUGUCUUAGAUUUCUCUAGAUACGGAUGUAUCAAGUCACAUUUUAGUAUUAGAUACAUCCGUAUCUAGACAAAUCUAAGACAAGAAAUUUGGGACAGAGGGAGUAGUUG
rfam:Triticum aestivum genome assembly, contig: Triticum_aestivum_CS42_TGACv1_scaffold_607324_7DL